rnacentral:misc_RNA from 1 species
GAUGAAGAACGUAGCGAGAUGCGAUAAGUAAUGUGAAUUGCAGAAUUCAGUGAAUCAUCGAAUCUUUGAACGCACAUUGCGCCCGCCAGCAUUCUGGCGGGCAUGCCUGUUCGAGCGUCAUUUCAACCCUCGAGCCCCCCCGGGGGCCUCGGUGUUGGGGGACGGCACACCAGCCGCCCCCGAAAUGCAGUGGCGACCCCGCCGCAGCCUCCCCUGCGUAGUAGCACACACCUCGCACCGGAGCGCGGAGGCGGUCACGCCGUAAAACGCCCAACUUUCUUAGAGUUGACCUCGGAUCAGGUAGGAAUACCCGCUGAACUUAAGCAUAUCAAUAAGCGGAGGA